UACGGGGGGGGCAAGCGUUGUUCGGAAUUACUGGGCGUAAAGGGUUCGUAGGUGGCUUGUUAAGUCAGACGUGAAAUCCCUCGGCUCAACCGGGGAACUGCGUCUGAUACUGGAUGGCUUGAGUGUGGGAGAGGGAUGCGGAAUUCCAGGUGUAGCGGUGAAAUGCGUAGAUAUCUGGAGGAACACCGGUGGCGAAGGCGGCAUCCUGGACCAUUACUGACACUGAAAAGCGAAAGCCAGGGGAGCAAACGGG
rnacentral:rRNA from 1 species